GGAAGGAUCAUUACUGAAUUGUCAAACGGGCUGUUGCUGGUCCUCGAAUGGGGACAUGUGCACGCUCUGUUUACACAUCCACUCACACCUGUGCACCCUCUGUAGUUUUACGGUCUGGGGGACCCUGUCUUCCUUCCGUAGUUCUACGUCUUUACACACACACUGUAAUAAAGUCUUAUGGAAUGUAUGCCGCGUCUAACGCAAAACAAUACAACUUUCAGCAACGGAUCUCUUGGCUCUCGCAUCGAUGAAGAACGCAGCGAAAUGCGAUAAGUAAUGUGAAUUGCAGAAUUCAGUGAAUCAUCGAAUCUUUGAACGCACCUUGCGCCCCUUGGAUAUUCCGAGGGGCAUGCCUGUUUGAGUAUCAUGAACACCUCAACUCUCAUGGUUUGCCGUGACGAGCUUGGACCUUGGGGGUUUUGCUGGCCUGUGGUCGGCUCCUCUCAAAUGAAUCAGCCUCCCAGUGUUUGGUGGCAUCACGAGUGUGAUAACUAUCUACGCUCGCGGUUUUCCACCAGGUAACCUUUGGUGACAAAGGUUCGCUGGAGCUCACAGAUGUCUCUCCUCAGCGAGGACAGCUUUUUAACGUUCGAUCUCAAAUCAGG
rnacentral:rRNA from 1 species